rnacentral:rRNA from 1 species
AAUCAACGCUGGCGGCGUGCCUCAGACAUGCAAGUCGAACGCGAAAGUUUCCUUCGGGAAGCGAGUAGAGUGGCGUCCGGGUGAGUAACACGUAGGUAAUCUACCUUUGGGUGGGGAAUAACAACCGGAAACGGUUGCUAAUACCGCAUAAUGCAGCGGCACCACAUGGUGACAGUUGUUAAAGCGGGGGAUCGCAAGACCUCGCGCCUAAAGAGGAGCCUGCGGCGGAUUAGCAGUUGGUAAGGUAACGGCUUACCAAGGCAACGAUCCGUAGCCGGCCUGAGAGGGCGGUCGGGCCACACUGACACUGAAAUACGGGUCAGACUCCUACGGGAGGCAGCAGUCGGGAAUUUUGGGCAAUGGGCGAAAGCCUGACCCAGCAACGCCGCGUGAAGGAUG